CCUACGGGAGGCAGCAGUGGGGAAUUUUGGACAAUGGGCGAAAGCCUGAUCCAGCAAUUCCGCGUGCAGGAUGAAGGCCUUCGGGUUGUAAACUGCUUUUGUACGGAACGAAAAGGCCUCUUCUAAUACAGGGGGCUCAUGACGGUACCGUAAGAAUAAGCACCGGCUAACUACGUGCCAGCAGCCGCGGUAAU
rnacentral:rRNA from 1 species